UUUCCUUUUUCCAUAAGACUCAAAAGUAAUAUAAGGUCUACAAAAUCUACUAAAAAGUCUCUGCAAAAAGUAGAUGAAGAGGACUCUGAUGAAGAAAGCGAUUAUGACGAGAUGAGUGAGCAGGAAGAGGAGCUUGAGGAUGACCCUACUGUAGUCAAAAACUAUAAAGACCUGGAAAAAGCAGUGCAGUCUUUUCGGUAUGAUGUUAUCCUGAAGACGGGGCUAGAUAUUGGGAGAAAAUGAGCAAACUGAUUUCCAAAGAAGUGACUGCCUGCAAAUCCUAUGUGCCAUAUUUGAAUCUAAGACACAGUUGACUGUAAGAUGAACCAUUGAUUUAAUAACAGCUUCUUGAGGGGAAAAUGAAUCACCAUAUUAGAUGUAUGUAGCAAGCAUAAAAUGUACCUGGAUAUUUCACAAAUGCUAUAAUGUGAGACGGUACCUCAGCUGGGCGCGGUGACUCAUGCCUGUAAUCCCAGCACUUUGGGAGGCUGAGCUGGGCAGAUCACAAGGUCAGGAGUUCAAGACCAGCCUGGCCAAUAUGGUAAAACCCUGUCUCUACUAAAAAUACAAAACUUAGCCAGGCGAGGUGGCAGGUGCCUGGAGUCCCAGCUACUUGAGAGGCUGAGGCAAGAGAGUCACUUGAACCCGGGAGGCAGAGGUUGCAGUGAGCCGAGAUCGCGCCACUGUACUCCAGCCUGGGUGACAGAGUGAGACUCCAUCUGAAAAAAAAAAGGUACCUCUUAGAAUUAACAGCAU
rnacentral:sRNA from 1 species